rnacentral:rRNA from 1 species
CCUACGGGUGGCAGCAGUGGGGAAUAUUGGACAAUGGGCGAAAGCCUGAUCCAGCCAUGCCGCGUGUGUGAAGAAGGCCUUCGGGUUGUAAAGCACUUUCAGUGGGGAAGAAAGCCUUGGGGCUAAUACCCUCGAGGAAGGACAUCACCCACAGAAGAAGCACCGGCUAACACCGUGCCAGCAGCCGCGGUAAUACGGAGGGUGCGAGCGUUAAUCGGAAUUACUGGGCGUAAAGCGCGCGUAGGCGGUCUGAUAAGCCGGUUGUGAAAGCCCCGGGCUCAACCUGGGAACGGCAUCCGGAACUGUCAGGAUAGAGUGCAGGAGAGGAAGGUAGAAUUCCCGGUGUAGCGGUGAAAUGCGUAGAGAGCGGGAGGAAUACCAGUGGCGAAGGCGGCCUUCUGGACUGACACUGACGCUGAGGUGCGAAAGCGUGGGUAGCAAACAGGAUUAGAUACCCGGGUAGUC